UCAUGACUUAUCAUUUUAUUUUAUUUUUACACAUAUUAGGCUCUUUGUCUUUGUUUAAAGUUUGACUAAGAGAUAAGCUUUAUGCAUGUACUGUCAAGUAUGUUUCACUUUAUUCCAAAAUAAUUGACAAAUACUCAGUCAAGCAAUGUACUAAGUUUAAAAAUUAUCAUUCAAUUUGUACAAUGAAGUUGAAGAUGUAUAAAGAAAUGUUAUACACAUUUUUUCCAGACAAAACCCCCCCAUAAGGAUGACAAUGUACUUGGACAAGAUUCUAAGACCUUUUUGAAAGAAAUAUGAAUAGGGGACUUCUAUAGCAGAAGAAGUAUAGCCAAACUUGCAGAAAACAACAACCGAAUGACUGCAUCACUAAAGAAAAGAAACAGGAUUUCUCCAAAUGUAGAAAUGCAGACAGCUCUUCACCAUCAACUGUGAUCCUUUGUAAUUUUGUGUACAUG